AACGAACGCUGGCGGCGUGGAUAAGACAUGCAAGUCGAACGAUCACUAGUGGGUAGCAAUAUUCGCUAGUGGGAGUGGCGCAAGGGUGCGUAACACGUGGGUAAUUUGCCAUGAAGUCUGGAAUAACUUGCUGAAAGGCGAGCUAAUGCCGGAUGUGAUUUCUGGAAGGCAUCUUCUGGAACUUAAAGUCGGGGACCGUAAGGCCUGACGCUUCUUGAUAAGCCCGCGGCCUAUCAGCUAGUUGGUGGGGUAACGGCUCACCAAGGCUAAGACGGGUAGCUGGUCUGAGAGGACGACCAGCCACACUGGAACUGAGACACGGUCCAGACACCUACGGGUGGCAGCAGUCGAGAAUUUUUCUCAAUGGGGGAAACCCUGAAGGAGCGACGCCGCGUGGGGGAUGAAUGGCUUCGGCCCGUAAACCCCUGUCAUUUGCGAUCAAACCUCACAGCCUAACACGCUGUGAGCUGAUAGUAGCGGAAGAGGAAGGGACGGCUAACUCUGUG
rnacentral:rRNA from 1 species